rnacentral:rRNA from 1 species
GAUUAACGCUGGCGGCGUGCAUAACACAUGCAAGUCGAACGAUGAAACUUAAAUGAUUUCUUCGGAAUGAACUUAAGUGGAUUAGUGGCGGACGGGUGAGUAACGCGUGAGUAACCUGCCUUACACAAGGGGAUAGCCGUUGGAAACGACGAAUAAUACCCUAUGAAACUAUCACUUCGCAUGAAGCGAUAGUCAAAGUGUUAGCGGUGUAAGAUGGACUUGCGUCUGAUUAGCUAGUUGGUGAGAAAAAAGCCCACCAAGGCAACGAUCAGUAGCCGGCUUGAGAGAGUGUACGGCCACAUUGGGACUGAGACACGGCCCAGACUCCUACGGGAGGCAGCAGUGGGGAAUUUUGCACAAUGGGCGAAACCCUGAUGCAGCGACGCCGCGUGAUUUAGAAGGCCUUCGGGUUGUAAAAAUCUUUUGUAUAGGAAGAAAAUGACAGUACUAUACGAAUAAGGUCCGGCUAAUUACGUG